rnacentral:sRNA from 1 species
GCCCAAUUAUCGCACGUGCCUGUGGUUGCGUGCCGACCGGUGGGGCUUCGGACAAGAGGCCGAAGCGACGCCCAUGUGGAUCCCGAAAGGGCCACGAGGAGUCCGGGGAAGUCCCGGAAAGGUCGGCAGCCGGAAAGCGAACCGGUGAACUCCGUCUCCGCGGAGGACGCGACUUGAAGCAACGACGUAGCGGGCUUUU